UGACCACAAAUGCAACAAACAUUCCAAGGAAUUAAGGAAAGCUAGCAAGGGUAUAUUCGUAUACAAGAGAAUCUGUGAAUACCUAACUUAAAAUCUAUCGAGAGGCAGCCAACAACUGCGGUACCUGUAGGGCCAGAGAGAUACCGCAGAUACAGCACCAUUCUGCAGACGUAGCAAAUGGGCAGAGCAAUUAACACCAGAGCCUCUGGAGGAAUCCUGAUCACGCUCAGUACACCUCACUGAUGCUGUCCGCCUGGAAUUACACCCAGCCACCCCCCACCCCCACACACCUGCUAUAUAAAGAA